CCAGCUACGCUCGCGUUUAUCGUGCGCCAGAAUUCGAUGAACUAACUAGCUCGGAUGAACUUUUUCGUGCACCUCGGUUCCCGCCAAGUAAUUUUUUAUACGAUAUAGUGUUCUAUUGUGAUUUUUGUGCUGUUGGUGAAUAAAAAGUGGUGUUAUUGGAAAUCAUUGGAUUGGAAUCCUGAAUAUAUUUGGAUUGGAUUUGCUAAUUGACACCGAAUUUUCAUUGUGAGCGGUAGCGCACCCGUACUUCCGUUUCCGGCGACGCGCCUGCGCAGCAUCCGCGACCACUAGACCGGGACUAUCUAUAUUCUGCUCCGAAUCAUUCAGUGAAGAUCACAAAAUGGAGAAGUGAACGCCAAACGAUGUUCAGCCACAAAAUAAUGUAUUAUGUGCUAAUAAUUGUCCCUUUAUUGAUAUGUAUUAUAUAGCAUAUAAUAUCAAAUAAUGUAAAAUGCCGUGAAAUUGAUUUGGUUUUAUAUAUAGCUUAGGAACUUCGUUAAAAUUGUAAAGCUAUCAUAGUACCUAUAUAAUGUAGCCAACAUACAUAUGUCAUUGCUGUCACACGAAUGCUGGAAGCAGAAUGAAAGAUGAAAAAAAACUUAUUCUCAAAUAUGUUAAUCAAAUUAACAAUCAUAUUAUUUCUAUUCCAAAAUUCCAUAUCCUUAAUUAUGAACAGUAUUUCUAUUUGUCUUGGACAUCCACAAUCAUGUCGGCUGCAAAAUGAUUUUGACAUUUUGUUAAGGUUUCUCACACAUAUACUAGCGAUAUUUCCAAUGUUCCUAAAUAGUAUAGUGUUAGUAAAUGUUAUGUAGUAAUAGUGAUAAUUAUAUGUAGCGCGAAUUUAAAAACUCUUGGUGCUGUAUUACGUAGUCUCAACAGGAAUCUUUGUUUGUCUAUAGUCUUUGUUUUAUAGUCGAUUAUUACACAUUUAAUGACGACUAACUUGUAUGCACAGUCUGUAACCACGUUUAUUAGAUAUAUCGAACAUUCCAAAUGAUUCUGUCCAACUUUAGUCUUAUUUUGGCUUCACUAAUUGAAUAAUGGACAAACAUUUGUAAACGUAUAAAACUUAUUUAUUACGAGGAAAUAGAGAAAUUAAUAAUUGAGGGAUUACAUGAUCAAACCGAAUCAAUUUCAAAGGGCAAUAG